UAUAAAUUCAAAGAAUAGUUUAUAGCUAUCUCUCUCAAUAAAAUAAAACUACAACACCACCUAUAAACAUACAGUAUUCUAUACAUAAUUGUUGGAAUCUACAUCUUUUGUGAAGCUUGUUGCUGUCUAUGAGUAACGAUCAAGUUGAAGGCUAUGGCAAAUGCACUUGUUAUAACUAUUGAAUUGUAUCGUUUUUUUUCUUCUUUCCCUUGUAACCUAUAUCAAUUUUUAGUUUUUGUACAUAUUUAAACAUCCUUGUA